GCUCUGCUUAAGGCCUGUAAGGCUCAUGGUCUUCUAAUAUCCUGAAGCAGGUUCAUUGCAUAUCAGAAAUAAAUGAUGCAGAACCAAGUUUUGGAGGGAUUACGCCAACAUGGCCUAAUAAUAGGAACAGCUCUGGAAUGCAGUUCCCAGCGAGAGACAUGCAGAAGGUGAGUGAUCUCUGCAUUUCCAACCAAGGUACCAGGUUCAUUUAAAUGGGACUGGUUGGACAGUGGGUAUAGCCCAAGGAGGGCAAAGUGAGGCAGGACAGGGCACUGCCUCACCUGAGAAGUGCAACUGACCAGAGGAUCAGGGACUUUUCCCCCUCUAGCGCUCAGGUUCAGAUACUGUGCUUCUCCUAUGCCCUCUGCAACCUACAGACCAGGAGAUUCCUGACAGGCUGAAAAGUGCUGCAAGUUACCAGCACAGAUCUGGGCAGACGUUUCGACUAGCACUGAG
ensembl:lincRNA